GGUGGUUCUCUGGUGAUGAACCCCAGAAUUGGGUUCCCUCCUCUCUGGUUCCAGGGUGCAUCACUCAAGGACCACC
rfam:Myotis davidii contig317361, whole genome shotgun sequence.